rnacentral:rRNA from 1 species
UACGAAGGGUGCAAGCGUUACUCGGAAUUACUGGGCGUAAAGCGUGCGUAGGUGGUGAGUUAAGUCUGUCGUGAAAGCCCCGGGCUCAACCUGGGAAUGGCGAUGGAUACUGGCUCGCUAGAGUGCGGUAGAGGAGAGUGGAAUUCCCGGUGUAGCAGUGAAAUGCGUAGAGAUCGGGAGGAACAUCAGUUGCGAAGGCGGCUCUCUGGACCAGCACUGACACUGAGGCACGAAAGCCAGGGGAGCGAACGGG